rnacentral:lncRNA from 1 species
AUUUGAAGAAAAGAUCCAGAUCAGUCAAGAAGAUGGUCUUCAUGCAAACUAGCAUUCUCGAGAAGAUCGAUCAGAUCGAAGCUUCGAGUGGACCUUCCGUAGAGAUCGGACAUGUGUACGACUGUGAGCAACCUAUGAAGAUCAUAUUUAUCAUGUCUCUCAACAGUGACGAUCAUCAAUCCACACUCAAGUAUUGAGUUCUAAACUCAGAUUAGUUAUAGAUUUGAUCUACUGCUUACAUCCAUGCAUGC